GGUCCCUUCGUCUAGUGGUUAGGACACAGGAUUUUCAUUCCUGCAACAGGGGUUCAAUUCCCCUAGGGACUA
rnacentral:tRNA from 2 species